AUAAUAAUAAUAAUAAUAAUAAUAAUAAUAAUAAUAAUAAUAAUAAUAAUAAUAAUAAUAAUAUAAAGUUGUUGUCAUUCGAGGAGAAAAAGAUACGCUGGUGCUAGCAACAGGAAUUAAGGAAGCAGAACCCGGCUGGCUUUGGAACAAUCAUUGAAUUUCGCCUAGUGCUAUACUCAAUAACAUAUAUAUGUUUGAUUAAUUUACCAUAAAGGGCAGAUGGGAUACGUUGAUAUGCAGGAAUAAAAUGAUUCAAUAUUUACUUGUUGACGCAUGAUAGGGAUCUAAAAAUAGGCAAACAAUAUUGAAGUAACACAUAGGCUAUGCUGGUCCUUUGUUCAUAUAUCGUUGGGUGCCGCUCGUGGCGAUUUUCUGGAGAUAUCACGAGUUAUCCUUUUCGUGAUUUGACAUCAUUCUCAAUGCCUUGAAGUGAGCGUUCUAUAAUCACAAACACAAAUACACGCACAUAAUUGGCGUAAUACUUUCCGUGGAACGGUGUUUUCAUAACACGAAAAUGCAAUAAUAGAACAGAAACCGAAACAGACAAACUGCCGUCUAAGAAUGGCGAUGGUCGUCAACGUAUGGCACUCUGAUUAAUGUUAUGGGGCACUGUUAUUUAGUUUGAGAAAAAUGAUGGUUAAUCCGGUUAAUCUUUUGCGCAAAGCCAAAAGUCGGUAAGAAAUAAUAUAUAAAAAUUACCUGUUGCUAGAUGCACUUUGCCUAGGGGGCUACGUGUCGCUGUGUUUUUGGCUUUGGGUGGUUAUGGCGGACGUAGGCGAAGCACGUUGUUUCUGUGUGAUCAAUUUCCUUUUUCAGCAAAACCUUUCUUGACUGCACAACGUAUUUUAAUCUGCGUGCAGUGUAUGAACUCGUGAUAUAUGCGGACAAAGUGGAGGUAGUUACUACAGUGUCAAGAAGUUGCACUUCCAUGAAGGAUCGGUGGACGAUUUUAGCUCAACGGCUGUUUAUGCCUGCUGGCGAAGAAACGAUGGACUGUUGUCCCGCCAAGGUGCCGAUAAUGAAAGAAAACGUACCUUAUCAAGACAGUGUGACGUCCACAAGCAAGUGCCACAGAUUUUUUAUGCUCAUGACACGGAUGCAGCUCUGUGGUAGGACUACGCUUUAAUACUUUUUAUUUUCGUUGGGAAACGGUGUGAAUGGCAUUUUAUUUCUCACUACUUCUCACGUGUACACAGACAAGCAUGACAGUGUGAGUUUAAAAUGCAUGAAGUCAAAGCAUGGAUCUCUGUUAAUUUUAUUACUCCCAGUCUGCAUUUGUCAAUGUUCUGUUUUUUCUUUUUUUGUAGGAUGUUACUGUGGAGCAAAGUCCAUGUUCAUAAAUGCAUCUACUGCUUACGUUAGUUACUGUUAAAGCUGCUGAUACCACACGACAAAUACUGUGGCAUGAACAAGGAAAUUUACAACUCAGGCAUUGCUGUACAACCAAUUGGAGAGGUGCACCAUACUGAGAUCUCGUUUGCUUUGUCCAAGUAAACAACACUUAGAUAUAUAGAAUACGAAGCUUGUGCAAUGCAUGUUCUACACUGCAGCAGUGGGAGCCUGACAAAAGAGCAGCGGUGCAGCGUAGUUGGCAUGCUUAAGACUGAACUUAUAGAACGGACCAAAAGUUGUAAGGCAUGUUGGUCAGUAUACUUAUUCAUCAUGGGCAGUCUGAUAAAGGCACAGCAUUCCACUAGCAGCCAACGUGCCAAACCAAACCUUUUUCGUUCAAGAUUUUAUGCCAGUGCUAGAAAAACGGCUCUGGAAUAAAAGAUACUGGUUCGUAUCUGUUCAGUGCUAAUGUCAUUAUAGGCACUAUCAACAGCAUUGUCUGUAAACUGUUUUCAGAUUGCCCUGUGCCUAUUGGCACAACCAGAACGAACACAACAAUCCGAAAACAGUUUACAGACAGUGCUGUUGAUAGUGCCUACAGCACCAUUAGCACUGGACCAAUAUGAACCGCCAUCUUUUAUUCCAGAGCUGUCUUUCUAGUAUUCGUACAAAAUCUUGAACGAAAAAGUUUCGGUUUGUCACAUUGGCGGCUACUGUAGCUGUGUCUUCAUCACAUUACUUAUCGUGAAUAAGUACAAUGACGAAUAUGGCCUACAGCUUUUGUUCCAUUUUAUAAGUUGUUGUCCCAACCAUGCCAACUACCUUGCUGCUCUUUUGUCAGGCUCCCACUGCUGCAGUGUACAACAUGCAUUACACGAGCUUCUUAUUCCAUGUGUUCAAGAGCUGUUUACUUCCACAUAGCUGACAAGAUAUCAGUGUAGUGCAGUUCUCCAAUGGCAGUACCCCAAUGUCUGAGUUGUAGAUUUCAUUGUUCGUGCCACGGUAUAGUAUAUUUAUUGCAGUGUAUGUGAAGCCUGCCGGUACCUGUAUCAGGCUGGUUUGAAAAAUUCUGCAGCGAGAAGUGGCAAGAACAGUGCGGUCACCUAGGGAGCUCCACGGGCAGAUCAUGACUGCAAAGCGGCGCCAGCAGUUGCUGCUGUCACGAGUUGCUUUCAGGAGUACACUGCCACGAAGCCCAGCCGCAAAGGCAGAAGUCUGACUGAGUGAAUUGAUCCAAUUAACGGCUACUUGGCUGACUUCCUAAAAAGGCUCAAACACUCACGUCUCAUCCCAUCAUCUUGCGGACUGCCACACAUACCCAUGCCAUACAGCAAGGUCGGGGGCCAUACAGGCUAUGGACUCCAUAGGAGGCCAUACAGUGUACGGACUGCCAUAGGAGGCCAUUCAGUGUACGGACUGCCA